rnacentral:rRNA from 1 species
UGGGAACGCGAAGAACCUUACCUACCCUUGACAUGUCCGGAGGCCUGCUGAAAGGCGGGUGUGCCCGAAAGGGAACCGGAACACAGGUGCUGCAUGGCUGUCGUCAGCUCGUGUCGUGAGAUGUUGGGUUAAGUCCCGCAACGAGCGCAACCCUUGUCAUUAGUUGCUACAUUCAGUUGGGCACUCUAAUGAGACUGCCGGUGACAAACCGGAGGAAGGUGGGGAUGACGUCAAGUCCUCAUGGCCCUUAUGGGUAGGGCUUCACACGUAAUACAAUGGCGCGUACAGAGGGCUGCUAAGCCGCGAGGUAGAGCCAAUCCCUUAAAGCGCGUCGUAGUCCGGAUUGCAGUCUGCAACUCGACUGCAUGAAGUCGGAAUCGCUAGUAAUCGCGGAUCAGCAUGUCGCGGUGAAUACGUU